rnacentral:rRNA from 1 species
UGGGGAAUAUUGCACAAUGGGCGCAAGCCUGAUGCAGCCAUGCCGCGUGUAUGAAGAAGGCCUUCGGGUUGUAAAGUACUUUCAGCGAGGAGGAAGGCGGUAAGGUUAAUAACCUUAUCGAUUGACGUUACUCGCAGAAGAAGCACCGGCUAACUCCGUGCCAGCAGCCGCGGUAAUACGGAGGGUGCAAGCGUUAAUCGGAAUUAAUGGGCGUAAAGCGCACGCAGGCGGUCUGUCAAGUCGGAUGUGAAAUCCCCGGGCUCAACCUGGGAACUGCAUUCGAAACUGGCAGGCUAGAGUCUUGUAGAGGGGGGUAGAAUUCCAGGUGUAGCGGUGAAAUGCGUAGAGAUCUGGAGGAAUACCGGUGGCGAAGGCGGCCCCCUGGACAAAGACUGACGCUCAGGUGCGAAAGCGUGGGGAGCAAACA